rnacentral:rRNA from 1 species
GACGAACGCUGGCGGCGUGCUUAACACAUGCAAGUCGAACGGAAAGGCCCUGCUUUUGUGGGGUGCUCGAGUGGCGAACGGGUGAGUAACACGUGAGUAACCUGCCCUUGACUUUGGGAUAACUUCAGGAAACUGGGGCUAAUACCGGAUAGGAGCUCCUGCUGCAUGGUGGGGGUUGGAAAGUUUCGGCGGUUGGGGAUGGACUCGCGGCCUAUCAGCUUGUUGGUGGGGUAGUGGCUUACCAAGGCUUUGACGGGUAGCCGGCCUGAGAGGGUGACCGGCCACAUUGGGACUGAGCUACGGCCCAGACUCCUACGGGAGGCAGCAGUGGGGAAUAUUGCACAAUGGGCGGAAGCCUGAUGCAGCAACGCCGCGUGCGGGAUGACGGCCUUCGGGUUGUAAACCGCUUUCGCCUGUGACGAAGCGUGAGUGACGGUAAUGGGUAAAGAAGCACCGGCUAACUACGUG